rnacentral:rRNA from 1 species
AGUGAACGCUGGCGGUAGGCCUAACACAUGCAAGUCGAACGGCAGCACAGUAAGAGCUUGCUCUUACGGGUGGCGAGUGGCGGACGGGUGAGGAAUACAUCGGAAUCUACUUUUUCGUGGGGGAUAACGUAGGGAAACUUACGCUAAUACCGCAUACGACCUACGGGUGAAAGCAGGGGAUCUUCGGACCUUGCGCGAUUGAAUGAGCCGAUGUCGGAUUAGCUAGUUGGCGGGGUAAAGGCCCACCAAGGCGACGAUCCGUAGCUGGUCUGAGAGGAUGAUCAGCCACACUGGACCUGAGACACGGUCCAGACUCCUACGGGAGGCAGCAGUGGGGAAUAUUGGACAAUGGGCGCAAGCCUGAUCCCGCCAUACCGCGUGGGUGAAGAAGGCCUUCGGGUUGUAAAGCCCUUUUGUUGGGAAAGAAACGCAGCAGGUUAAUACCCCGCUGUUCUGACGGUACCCAAAGAAUAAGCACCGGCUAACUUCGU